CCCUUAGAUGUUCUGGGCUGCACGCGCGCUACACUGAAGCUAUCAACACGUUUUCCCUCCCUGAGAAGGGCGGGUAACCUUUUGAAUCAGCUUCGUGGUAGGGAUCGGGGCUUGCAAUUGUUCCCCGUGAACCAGGAAUUCCUAGUAGACGCGAGUCAUAAGCUCGCAUCGAUUAAGUCACUGCCCUUUGUACACACCGCCCGUCGCUACUACCGAUUGAACGUUUUAGUGAGGCAUUUGGACCGACGCAUCUCAGUUUAACCGCUGGUUUGUGUUGGAAAGACUUCCAAACUUGAGCGUUUAGAGGAAGUAAAAGUCGUAACA
rnacentral:rRNA from 1 species